rnacentral:rRNA from 1 species
ACACGACUACAUUAGAUACCCCCCGUAGUCCCAGCCGUAAACUAUGCGCGUUAGGUGUAUCGGUGACCACGAGUCACCGAGGUGCCGAAGGGAAACCGUGAAACGUGCCGCCUGGGAAGUACGGUCGCAAGGCUGAAACUUAAAGGAAUUGGCGGGGAGCACCACAACAGGUGGAGCCUGCGGUUUAAUUGGAUUCAACGCCGGACAUCUCACCGGAUAAGACAGCUGAAUGAUUGUCAAUCUGAAGGUUUUACAUGACUAGCUG